rnacentral:rRNA from 1 species
UACGGGGGGGGCAAGCGUUGUUCGGAAUUACUGGGCGUAAAGGGCGCGUAGGCGGCCUGCUAAGUCGGACGUGAAAUCCCACGGCUCAACCGUGGAACUGCUUGGUAUACUGCGGGUCUUGAGCCACCUAGGGGCGAGCGGAACAAGUGGUGGAGCGGUGAAAUGCGUAGAUAUCACUUGGAACGCCAAUGGUGAAAACAGCUCGCUGGGGGUGUGCUGACGCUGAGACACGAAAGCCAGGGGAGCAAACGGG